UACCAUGGCUUGCUUAAGAACACACAUAGUGCUUGACAUUUUUGUUUUUGGUGUUAUGUUGCUAUCUUUUAUGUGUUUUAUUUUAAAAGAAUAUAUCUUAGAGAAAGGGGUAUUUUAUGAACAAGUCAAUGUAAUGCUUUAAAGGACAAAAUGGAAAUAUAAAACCUAUUAUAUCGCAUCUGAUCUUCCAAAAUCCUAUAAUUAUUUUGUUUCUGUCUUAGGAUGCUGUGAAUUACGUAUAGGACUGUACUCAUUGUAGGCAGAUAACUCUAAAAAUGAAUUACACUCACAGUCCCAAAUCUUAUCAUUUCUGAUAAUCUAUAUUUAACUUUUAUCUCUUUUUAUAGAUCCAGAUGAAGAUUAUUUCAGUUUGACUAAUAAUAUACAUAGUUUCCAUGAAAAAAAUUUACAAGGAACUUCCUAUCAGACUGUAAGAUCAGACAGUGACCCAGAAGGAUCAACAGGGACCUUAAGGCGACUACAGAAACUGAUGUGGACCAAGAAGGCUAGGAUGCAGAGUCUGGAGGAGACCAAACCAACUUUAAUAAAUCACAGUGACAAUGACACAUCAAUUCCCUGUAUGAAAUUUACCAAAUUCCAAGAAAGGAAAGCUAAUCAUGU